UACGGGGGGGGCAAGCGUUGUUCGGAAUUACUGGGCGUAAAGGGCUCGUAGGUGGCCAAUUAAGUCAGACGUGAAAUCCCCAAGCUUAACUUGGGAACUGCGUCUGAUACUGGGAGGCUAGAGUGCGGGAGAGGGAUGCGGAAUUCCAGGUGUAGCGGUGAAAUGCGUAGAUAUCUGGAGGAACACCGGUGGCGAAGGCGGCAUCCUGGACCGACACUGACGCUGAGGCGCGAAAGCUAGGGUAGCAAACGGG
rnacentral:rRNA from 1 species